CCUACGGGAGACAGCAGUGGGGAAUAUUGGGCAAUGGGCGCAAGCCUGACCCAGCAACGCCGCGUGAAGGAAGAAGGCUUUCGGGUUGUAACCUUCUUUUGUCAGGGACGAGUAGAAGACGGUACCUGACGAAUAAGCCACGGCUAACUACGUGCCAGCAGCCGCGGUACUACGUAGGUGGCAAGCGUUGUCCGGAUUUACUGGGUGUAAAGGGCGGGUAGCCGGGUUGACAAGUCAGAUGUGAAAUCCUGCGGCUUAACCGCAGAACUGCAUUUGAAACUGUUGAUCUUGAGUACUGGUGAGGCAGACGGAAGUCCUAGUGUAGCGGUGAAAUGCGUAGAUAGUAGGAGGAACACCAGUGGCGAAGGCGGUCUGCUGGACAGCAACUGACGGUGAGGCGCGAAAGCGUGGGGAGCAAACAGGAUUAGAUACCCCGGUAGUC
rnacentral:rRNA from 1 species